rnacentral:rRNA from 1 species
GACGAACGCUGGCGGCGUGCUUAACACAUGCAAGUCGUACGGUAAGGCCCUUUCGGGGGUACACGAGUGGCGAACGGGUGAGUAACACGUGAGUAACCUGCCCACAACUUUGGGAUAACGCUAGGAAACUGGUGCUAAUACUGGAUAUGUGCUCCUGCUGCAUGGUGGGGGUUGGAAAGCUCCGGCGGUUGUGGAUGGACUCGCGGCCUAACAGCUUGUUGGUGGGGUAGUGGCCUACCAAGGCGGCGACGGGUAGCCGGCCUGAGAGGGUGACCGGCCACAUUGGGACUGAGAUACGGCCCAGACUCCUACGGGAGGCAGCAGUGGGGAAUAUUGCACAAUGGGCGCAAGCCUGAUGCAGCAACGCCGCGUGCGGGAUGACGGCCUUCGGGUUGUAAACCGCUUUCAGCAGGGACGAAGCUUUUUGUGACGGUACCUGCAGAAGAAGCACCGGCUAACUACGUG